AUGAACGCUGGCGGCGUGCUUAACACAUGCAGGUCGAACGAUGAAGCCCAGCUUGCUGGGUGGAUUAGUGGCGAACGGGUGAGUAACACGUGAGUAACCUGCCCUUAACUCUGGGAUAAGCCUGGGAAACUGGGUCUAAUACCGGAUAGGAGCGUCCACCGCAUGGUGGGUGUUGGAAAGAUUUAUCGGUUUUGGAUGGACUCGCGGCCUAUCAGCUUGUUGGUGAGGUAAUGGCUCACCAAGGCGACGACGGGUAGCCGGCCUGAGAGGGUGACCGGCCACACUGGGACUGAGACACGGCCCAGACUCCUACGGGAGGCAGCAGUGGGGAAUAUUGCACAAUGGGCGCAAGCCUGAUGCAGCGACGCCGCGUGAGGGAUGACGGCCUUCGGGUUGUAAACCUCUUUCAGUAGGGAAGAAGCGAAAGUGACGGUACCUGCAGAAGAAGCACCGGCUAACUACGUG
rnacentral:rRNA from 1 species